UCCAGUAUUUGGCGAGCGCCGUUUUGUCCUACUAAUUUUGGUGGUCUUUGAACUCACCGUGGUUUGUUUACAUGUACAACUUUCUCCGACUUUCUAGGGCGUGUUUUAUGCCACUUCUUUUUCUGUCUCGUUCUGUCAACCAAACUUUUAAUGUUGUACGUGAAUGCACAAAGAAAAAUUGUAUGUAUAGUACCUGAAAGUCGGAGGGGUGUGGUGACCACCAGUGUCUGAGGGAAGCCACGCAGCUGCAGAAGGACGCAAGCUCCGCUGAUGUCUACGGUUACGGGCGAAGUAAAUCUCGAUGAGUCUUUCGCUCUCUGUGAGCGCCUGGUGUCCGCAUCCGCAGAAGAGGGCGAUGCCGGAGAAGCACAGCAGCGUGGCGAGCAGUGAGCAGUAGGGGAUCCCGCCCAGGCAACGCAUACAGCACUCAUAGCAACCUGCAAGCACCGACGCAGAACACAUUAUUGACGGACACAAUCGGCGUGGAACAAAAGGCAUGCACCCACUUCCCUACCUGGACCGCCAAAUAAACGCCAAACGGCAAGCACUUGGUGAAACUUCUAAUGUUGAAAUUGUCAAAGUGGAUUGGAUUGGAAGUAUUUCAACGUUGUGGCCAUGUUGUAGUGGCCGGAUGACUGCCAUGGUAAUGACGCUUGGAGCAUCAUCCGGGCUACAGUCAGUGCUGGAUUAUUGUCUUGUCGAUGCCACUUCUUGUCGCUCUUGUCGUGUCGUAUCUUUGCUGCUUAAAGGGGCAGUAUGGCGUAGUGGGUAGAGCGGCCGUGCCAGAAACCUGAGGGUUGCAGGUUCGCUUCCCACCUAUGGACAUCAAAGUCACUGCCGUUGUGUCCUUGGGCAGGACACUUCACCCUUUGCCCCCGGUGCCGCUCACACUGGUGAAUGAAAGAUGAAUGAAUGAUUGGUGGUGGUCGGAGGGGCCGUAGGCACAAACUGGCAGCCACGCUUCCGUCAGUCUACCUCAGGGCAGCUGUGGCUACUGAUGUAGCUUACCACCACCAGGUGUGAAUGAAUAAUGGGUUCCCACUUCUCUGUGAGCGCUUUGAGUAUCUAACAAUACAAAAGCGCGAUAUAAAUCCAAUCCAUUAUUAUUAUUAUCAUUACAUGUACGACUUCUGUUUCCUGCUCGAUACCUGCUUGCUUCCACGCUAAGCCUUUUGGUUUGUUAUCCGCCCACGUGCGCGCUUUUUGUUGUACCCCUUUUGUUUGGUUUUGUCUUAGUAUUUUGAUUAAAUCAUGUUUACUUA